UACUUCUGUCUUGUGCUCAUAUCGGAUAAAUCUUUCGCCUUUUACUAAAGAUUUCCGUGGAUGCGGGACACAAAGGAAGAUUACCCAAAUUUUUUGUCUCUUUCAAACAAGAAGGUC
rnacentral:snRNA from 1 species